CCUACGGGGUGCUGCAGUGGGGAAUAUUGGACAAUGGGCGAAAGCCUGAUCCAGCCAUGCCGCGUGUGUGAAGAAGGCCUUCGGGUUGUAAAGCACUUUCAGUGGGGAAGAAAGCCUUGGGGCUAAUACCCUCGAGGAAGGACAUCACCCACAGAAGAAGCACCGGCUAACUCCGUGCCAGCAGCCGCGGUAAUACGGAGGGUGCGAGCGUUAAUCGGAAUUACUGGGCGUAAAGCGCGCGUAGGCGGUCUGAUAAGCCGGUUGUGAAAGCCCCGGGCUCAACCUGGGAACGGCAUCCGGAACUGUCAGGCUAGAGUGCAGGAGAGGAAGGUAGAAUUCCCGGUGCAGCGGUGAAAUGCGUAGAGAUCGGGAGGAAUACCAGUGGCGAAGGCGGCCUUCUGGACUGACACUGACGCUGAGGUGCGAAAGCGUGGGUAGCAAACAGGAUUAGAUACCCGAGUAGUC
rnacentral:rRNA from 1 species